rnacentral:misc_RNA from 1 species
GUGAAUCAUCGAAUUUUUGAACGCAAAUUGCACUUCCUGGUAUUCCGGAAAGCAUGCCUGUUUGAGGGUCAGUUAAAUAAAAAUCGGUGUUGUUGCUGCUAUUAGUGGUGAUGCAUCGGAAUUGAGUUGUUCUUUGCUCUUUGGUAUCAGUGAUUUAAUAUAUGUACGAUUUUUGAAUGUUUUUAUAUUAUUUCCGUUCGUUCAUAAUAUCAUAUCUUAUGU